rnacentral:rRNA from 1 species
AAGCUACUAAGGGCGCACGGUGGAUGCCUUGGCACUAGAAGCCGAUGAAGGACGUUACUAACGACGAUAUGCUUUGGGUAGCUGUAAGUAAGCGUUGAUCCAGAGAUUUCCGAAUGAGGGAACCCAGCAUGAGUUAUGUCAUGUUAUCGACAUGUGAAUUCAUAGCAUGUCAGAAGGCAGACCCGGAGAACUGAAACAUCUUAGUACCCGGAGGAAGAG